GACUGGAUAGCUCAGUCGGUAGAGCGCGAAACUCUUAAUCUCAGGGUUAUGGGUUCAAAUCCCACAGCAGGCA